CCUUCAACUAAAGUGACCUUAUACUAGUGAUUGACCUGUUGCUUAGUUCCACAUUUUAUCAUUCUUAAGACUAUAGAUCUAAGUCAGACAACCAUAAUGGCUGGACAAGAGUCAGAUUUAACUUUAAAGAAUUGCUGCACAAAAGUCUUUGUUCCAAUUUGUUUCUUUUUCUUUAAUUUUAUUACCUGCCAUUGGAUACAACAAC